ensembl:lncRNA
UAUCAGCCUUCGUUUCUCGCUCUCGUGAUUUUCUUGUGUCUAAGUCUCAGUGUGUUUUGGCUCUCGUGUGUUUUUGGAUCGUGUGUAACCCGUGUGUUUUUGAACUCACCAACCUCAGGCUCUUCACUCGCCUGGAACUGCUCACCUGACCUCCAUAGAACUUCUGGACUCCAUUUUCCAGCCACGUUCACCAGUCUCCUCCCGGACCAUCCCGCUCUCACCAUCCUCCUCCCAACCGACCCGCUCUCACCCUCGGAACCUGCGCUCCCUCUCCAGCUCAGGAGAUCAUCCCACCAGGAUCGUCCCCUGCUCACUUCCUCCCUCUUAAAACCUCUGACCAAGUCAUCUCCUACCCGUUUCCACCGUCCAGAUCCGCUGACGGUGCCCUGCACCACGGGCCUAAAAUCUGAGCCCGUGUCCAGCCCGGCUGGAGGGGGUGGAGCCCCAUCCCGACCCGGUCCGAAAAGGUUUUCAGGAUUCUCUGGCCCGACCCGAGCCCGACUUUUUUAACCAACUAAAUGAAAACAAAUGCGUCAAUCCUGACCAAUGUGUUAAAAGACGUGCAGGAUCCGAUCAAUUUGUUUUUCCCUCAUUUACCGUCACGGAGAUAACGACGCACUGGCUCUGGUGAUAAUCAAGUUAAAUUUUGUCUCUUUCCAACAAUUUUUACAAGAAAACAAAACAGUCAAAAGCAGGGCUUGUGCUGUGUUGACUGGGUAGUUCCCGUAUUUGACCGUUUAUUUUGACGGAGAAAGAAUAGAAUGAAUUACCCCAAUGCAUGCAGACAAACUGAUAUUUUAUUCAUUAUGCACAUUGCAGAUGUAGCUAAAUCACCCAAGAAAAGAUUCCCAUCUGAACAUCUGAGCUGGACACUGCUCAGCGCAGCUCGCUGUCAGCGCAUAUGUGCACAGCGAGCUAAAGAUGUGGAGAUUGGCUUGGAGCACGUUGCAGAACCAGAGCGCAUGCGGGAAGGUUCCUCCCACUGAAGCGAGUGUUUUCCAAACCCUGUCUCUCAGAGAGACUUGUCACUUAGAAAAUGUUCCCUGAUUAUGAAACUUUGGCUGAAUAGUGCUUGUUCCUGUCUCCAAUGUGGCGACACAUCCAGGAGCCGUCUGAGGAGAAGCCCAGAAUCUCACUUUCUCUUCAGCUCAGGAAGCGCCGAUAUGAUUACGCACAAGCGUGACGCGUCAACCCGGUCUCACAGUAAGACCGGGUUGGACCUGUUCAGGUUUAUGCAGACAAUCUUUACAUAGAAUUGACUUAGAUAUACAGUUAAUUCAGUAAAAUAUAAAGCAUUUUAUUUAAAUAUCCAUUCAUUAUUUUAUAAGCACAGAGAGCCGCAUCAGAUGGAUGGAAGAGCCGCGGGUUGCCGAUCCCUGGUACAGCCUAUAAAAUGACAUGUUUUCUCCAGGACCAGAGAGGACGCAAACUCAAUACAUCUCUUUUAUUGUGAGGUAAUAAUUUCUGCGAGUUUUGCGGGCGGGAGUAGACAUGCACACUGCGGGUGCGGGUGGGAGACACGUUGCGGUUGCGGGCGGUAAUGGUCAGACAUUCAGCGGGAGCGGGCAGGAGCGGGAUGAAGAAAACAGUCCCGUGCAGGGCUCUAUUGCUGCGUUUAAGUGUUUCAAUUUUUUUUAUGAAUUCGAUUAAAAAUUAAGGCGCCCGGCCCAUGUCCGAGGUAAUUGCACAGUCGUUGGCCCGAAGCCCGGCCCUCGGGCCAUCGGGCCGGGCCGACCCGAAGGCCUAGGGCUUCAGUGCAGGGCUCCUCGGUUUCAUCCUUUAAAAUCUGUUUUACUUACCUGCCCUGUGUGUGUAGUCGUGAUUCUGCAUGUCUUGGGUUAGACUAAUUCCCAGAACCAUGACAUAGUGUUAUUGUGAAACAGGAUAAUGCCAGUACCAGUUAAACGAAGGAGUUAUACACUCUUACUGCAGAGGGGAUGAAUGACCUGCCGUAGCGUUUUGUUUUACAUCUGGGAAGUCUCAGUCUGCCUCUGAAGGAGGUUAAGCUCGUUGGCCCAGUUCUGGUCCCCUUCAGCAGACUCACUGGCACCACUCCUCCCAUUGUAACCUGUGAUGUUUCUGAAGCCUCUUCAUGCAUCACAAGCAUUGUCCUACCCCAGCUGUUUAUCCAGCUUAUUCCUGUAGCUGUCUUUAGCCCGUUUAAUCUUAUAUUCAAGCUCCUUCUGGACUCUUUUCUGCUCCUCUUUGUCACCAGCCAUGAAAGCUUUUUCUUAUCGUUCAGCAGAGAUUUCAGCCCAGGGGUCAACCAGGGUUUUAGUAUUCGAGACACACCUCACUCUUUGUGUUGCAACAGUGUUAAUAUUACAUUUCAUUUUUAAAUUGAGGAACCCCUUUAAAACAAGAUGUUUUAUCUGAAUGAGCCAUUCCAUUUCUCUUAAGCUUGUUGAACCUGCAAGAAAGUGUAAGAACUCAACAACUAAUCUAACCUCAUAAUGUUCAGCAUCUGCAUCCUUGUAAUAAACUGUUUAUUUUUCAAAACUCAUACAUUUCAUUCUAGCUUUAAAUGCUCUCCAGUCAUUUAACACUCAGACAACUCCAACUCUGAAGAUCCCCCACAGGAUUUAUGCCUGCAGGUUACCUCAAACGUCUGAUAAACAUCUUACACUGAACAAAAAUAUGAACGCAACACUUUUGUUUUUGCUCUCAUUUUUCAUGAGCUGAUCUCAAACAUCUAAAUAAUUGCCUAUAUUUUCUAUCAAACUGCAUUCAGAACAUUCCUUUGAAUUAAUCAUCUCUAAGACCAGAAGUCUUUUCCCAGACUAAUAUUUCCUCUGAAUUGUUGAAUAACGAUUCCAGUAAUCUCCUUCUGCAACACAACUUUAAGCCUGAUUCAUGCUGCUGUGUCUGCGUCAGUGCAGAGACACGCAACGCCAUUAUCCGUCCUUGCGGGCCUGCUGGAGAGCACCGCAAGGACGUACAGAGUCGAGUUCCCUUUUCUGAAGCCUGAUUCAUGCUUCUCCGUCAGCUCCAAAAGGG